rnacentral:misc_RNA from 1 species
CCAGGCUGCAGAAAUUGAUGUGCCUUGUAGGAAUACUUUGUAAUCCCUGAAAUUUUUACAGCAAGCUUCCACUCAUUAUGAUCAAAAAGUUCUAAUACUACCUGCACCCCACAUUCUCUCCAGCCUCUAUCACCAUGCGUAAUUAAGACAUUUGCUUCACAGGACAACUCUUCUAAGUUUCUUUCAGAAACCCUAGAAACAUCAGCUGACCUCUUCUCAUUUGCUGUCCUAAUCCGUUUAUGUGGAAGCCCUUUCUGUGAAUGACCUUUAUUGUUUGAGCCAUAGUCAAAACCUCCAAAAGGCAUUGCAUAAGAGACCUGUGUACGUGGCUUCUUAGGUCCAUUACCAAAAUUAUUCUGGAGAAAGUCAGCCCUUCCAUCUGCCCAUCCAUGUGCAAGGUAUCCAAAAGAUGUAGAACUACUUCUAUUUCGGUGCCAGGUACUUCUGCGAGCAGUAGGGUUUGGACUGGGGAUAAUGCCACCAUUCAUAUUCCAAGACAAAUCAGUAGAUUGUUGAGCACGAUGUAAUUCCUUAUCAGCACGCUUAUCAAAUUGAUUGAAUGAUGGAAUUUCAACAGUAAUACCAUUCAUAAGAGAAUGAGAACCAGUACAAGACUUAUCAUGGUCAACUAGAGGCUUUGGUGAUUGGUGGCAUUGUUCUGACUCUGAAUGAUGGAAUGGCCACUUUUGCAGUGAGGCAACAGUAUCAGUUCCCAAUUUUCCAGUAUCCUUGGAGAUGGCAGAAUUUUCAACAUUUACACCACCAUUAUGGUGCUUUAGAGAGGGCUUCAUCCAAUCUCCAACACUGGUAACAGAAAUGUCAACUUCUUGUGGCACAGUUUUAGAACAAGAA